UACGGUAGGGGACGAGCGUUGUCCGGAAUUACUGGGCGUAAAGGGCGCGCAGGUCGGUAUAUCAAGUCAGCUGUCAAAGACUGGGGCUCAACCCUGGUAUGCGGUUGAAACUGAUAUGCUGGAGUGCUGUAGAGGCAAGUGGAAUUCCCAGUGUAGCGGUGAAAUGCGUAGAUAUUGGGAAGAACACCGGUGGCGAAGGCGACUUGCUGGGCAGCAACGUGACGCUGAGGCGCGAAAGCCAGGGGAGCAAACGGGGAUUAGA
rnacentral:rRNA from 1 species